AAUAUUGGUCAAUGGAGGCAACUCUGAACCAGUCACGUCGCGUGAAGGAUGACGGCCCUACGGGUUGUAAACUUCUUUUAUACAGGAAUAAAGUGAGUCACGUUUGACUUUUUGCAUGUACUGUAUGAAUAAGCAUCGGCUUACUCCGUGCCUGCAGCCGCGGUAAUACGGAGGAUGCAAGCGUUAUCCGGAUUUAUUGGGUUUAAAGGGUCCGUAGGCGGGCAUAUAAGUCAGAGGUGAAAUCCGACAGCUUAACUGUCGAACUGCCUUUGAAACUGUAUGUCUUGAGUGAGAUUGAAGCAGCUGGAAUGUGUAGUGUAGCGGUGAAAUGCAUAGAUAUUACACAGAACACCGAUAGCGUAGGCAGGUUGCUAAGUCUUUACUGACGCUGAUGGACGAAAGCGUGGGGAGCAAACA
rnacentral:rRNA from 1 species